ensembl:lncRNA
CAUUCAAACCAAAAACAUGUUCCAGUCUGACUCCCUUUCUGAAUCUCCCAAAGAUUUCUCUCUGGAUAGAUCUGAUGGGUGUUAAUACAAUAUUGUUUGUAUAGAGACUCUGUAUUAUGCUAUAGUUUAGAUACUACAUACCCGAAAUUGCUGCACCGUAUCAGAAUGAACAUUUACGUAUCCAUAGUGGAACAGCUCUCUAAAUUCUACUAGCCAAUAGUUUUGUAUUAUCAUAGACCCGCCCUGAUUUGAACCAGUAUGUUCUUCUAAACACCUGUAUAGAUCUCUUUUAUGGGCAUACAGGUGUCCUGCUGUACGCUGCUGCUGGGCUGGGUGGAUUGUCAUUGCUCAUAUUUGUGUUCAUUGCUCACUUUGCGUGUAAGAGGACAGUCAACAGAUCCCAAGGUCCUGGAUUAUAUACUGUGUAUGCAGAAGUAAAAGGAGUUCAGUCUGAAGUCAACCAGCCAAACAGAUCAUCAUCAUCAUCAUCAUCAUCCACUGAAUCACAUGAAGAGACUCUGGAGAACCCUCUGUACAGCACUGUGGACCUGAAGGAAAGACUAGAUUUAAACAUCUACUCUGCAGCCUACUGACUUACUAAUCACUCUGAUAACCUGCUUAUUCAUCAUGCUGCAGGAACCUUCUCAUGCUUAUGUAGUUUAGAGCUAUUAAGUAGCAAAAUCAGAUAUGCUGAUGUUCUAGCAUCUCAUUUUUGGUUGUGUUAAAUGUAGCCUGUAUUAGAGGAAAGAUUCUAAUAGAAAGUCCAUAUAUUUUAUAAAUCCACUUGCAUGUUUAUUGUAAACUAUUUGGAACAUUUUCAGUACAUAAAACUAACGUCUCAGCCAGUAAACAAACAUCUCUAUCUGAACUGUUUUAAUUCUUUCAGUAUGAUGUAUUUGUAUGAAUGCGCAGGAACUUUCAGGUAGGUGAAGGUGGUGUUAGGAGUCUUGCCCUUAUUGGUAUAGUGUAGGGUGUUUGUCCAUGCAGGGGAUUGAACCCCAGAGGUGUUACCCACUACACUAUCCCAAACAUGAUUAAAAUGACUAUUUUUCAAUAAAUAUAAAUAUUAAUAAAGUAAAUCUAAUACAAACAGUGCUGUGUAAAGGCCAGAGGCCAGCUUUUAUUUUUUGACUCUCAGUCAAAACAGCAAUUAGUUACAAGUUAUUCACUUUUCAGCAUCAGGACAAAAAUUGGUGUGUCCACCUGUCACGAUGUGUCCAUUUGGACCUGCCUAGUCUGGAUAGGCUGACCAGUUUUUGUUCCUCUCUGGCUCCACCCCUUUAACAUUAUACACACCUGCACCUAGUGUAUGGGCUUAUUUACCCUCAUGUAUAGCCUAAAGUUUCACUCGCUCUUUUUGUGAGCUCUGAGCAAUGUUCUUUGUGUAAAUGUUUUGACCCUUGUCUUGGUUCCUAGUUAUUUGAAACUGAGUACAGGCAGUUUGUCUCAACACCAUGGUCAGAUAUUUCACUUUACUGACAAACAAAAAAAAAGAGCAUUUCCUGAAGGCUGAUUUGAGCAUGGUUCUGGAAUAGGAUGCUACCAUUACAACAAGCAAGUUGUGCACUGGGAGCUUCACCUUGGCCGAGCAGCUGCUUGCAAGCCUUACAUCACCAAGUACAAUGACAAGUGUCUGAUAGAGUGGUGUAAAGCACACCACCACUGGACUCUAGAGCAGUGGAAACAUAUUCUGUGGACUGACUAAUCACACUUCUCUGUCCUUAUCUGUCCGUCUGACG